rnacentral:tRNA from 3 species
CGGGGUGUAGCGCAGUCUGGUAGCGCAUCUGGUUUGGGACCAGAGGGUCGGGAGUUCGAAUCUCUCCACCCCGACCA